UACGUAGGGUGCGAGCGUUGUCCGGAAUUAUUGGGCGUAAAGAGCUCGUAGGCGGUGUGUCGCGUCGGCCGUGAAAACCUGCAGCUUAACUGUGGGCUUGCGGUCGAUACGGGCAUCACUGGAGUUCGGCAGGGGAGACUGGAAUUCCUGGUGUAGCGGUGAAAUGCGCAGAUAUCAGGAGGAACACCGGUGGCGAAGGCGGGUCUCUGGGCCGAUACUGGCGCUGAGGAGCGAAAGCGUGGGGAGCGAACAGG
rnacentral:rRNA from 1 species